CCUCCUCUUUGCAUUAGUUUAUUAGAUAUUAUUAAUAAAUUAUGCAUGUUAUAAGCUUAAUUCUCAAAGAAUAUAAGCCAUAUUAAAUAUUAAAUAUGGAAAGCAUACUCAUUGUCAUCUCUGAUUAUCACAUAUUGGAAACAAAUUACUUUACAUUUUGUUACUCUACCACAAAGUCUUCUAUCAUUUUUCUUUCUCACAAAAGACUCAAUUCAGGCCUAGACUACAUUGCUUAAAAUGAGAACCAUACAAAUGAGACAAAAGAGGAGAGGAAAAUCAAAGUGUACCGCUUCCACUAAAUUCUCUCUUCUCAAUAUCUGCCUUCUGGCUUUCAUUUUAAGUCACUGGCCAUGUGGUUGGGAAGGCAUUACUGAUUUAGUUGUGCAUUUGGGUUUCUCUACUCUCCAAUGAUAAGGAUAGAUAUGAUAAGAACAAGAACAGAGUUAGCCAGAGGUAACAGGAAACUAAAAUUGUCCCCUCCCAAUAAAGAUACUGUUACUGAAAUUGUGAGUCUAACAGACAUUUUAAUUUGCUUUUUGGUAGAACAAAUGUUCAGAGGGAAGUGUGGGCUGCAAGGCAAUACAGGUCUGAGACAGUACUGCUCACUCCCAGGGCACGAAUAAGUUCCUGGAGAAUGGCCAACAUGGAAUCAAUUCUGAAAUGCUCUGCUAACCCAUCUGGAAGAACACGUUUGUUUUCCCAAACAGCCAAGGAGUUCUGCAAGGUAAAGCCUGCCUUUCUUGUAAUGGCGAAUAUUUCCCAAAGGUGAAGUCUGCAGCAGGCAGCACAGAUGUUGCUGUAGUGGCGUAUCAGGACAAUGGGAAGACAAGCAGCUAGAAGAAAUGGACCACACGACGAGCAUAUUGCAGCUUGGGGAAGCCUGACAGCCCUGCACAGCACCUCUCUGAGCACCCUCAUCUCAGGUUACUCUCAGAGGCCAAAAAGACCAGAAAGCCCAACAGACAGGCACCAUGAAACUGGCUAUUUAAUGAAAUCUGUCAGUAGUCAGAGAAUAUGAGGCAUAGGAUCACAGCACAGAAAGGAAAUGGCAAUAAUUUAAUACAAAUUUCUCACUUAAUAACUGAGAAAAUGGAGGCUAAGUCUGAACUCUUAGUUUGCUUGUUUUCUGACAGCUAGCUUAUGGGAGAAUGAAUGCUGAGAUCCAUUUAUGAAAGAUUAAAAACAACCUAAAUGUCACAUCAAAAAUGAAUAAAUAAAGCUAUAUCAAUUCA
rnacentral:lncRNA from 1 species